rnacentral:rRNA from 1 species
GACGAACGCUGGCGGCGUGCCUAAUACAUGCAAGUUGAGCGCUGAAGGUUGGUACUUGUACCAACUGGAUGAGCAGCGAACGGGUGAGUAACGCGUGGGGAAUCUGCCUUUGAGCGGGGGACAACAUUUGGAAACGAAUGCUAAUACCGCAUAAAAACUUUAAACACAAGUUUUAAGUUUGAAAGAUGCAAUUGCAUCACUCAAAGAUGAUCCCGCGUUGUAUUAGCUAGUUGGUGAGGUAAAGGCUCACCAAGGCGAUGAUACGUAGCCGACCUGAGAGGGUGAUCGGCCACAUUGGGACUGAGACACGGCCCAAACUCCUACGGGAGGCAGCAGUAGGGAAUCUUCGGCAAUGGACGAAAGUCUGACCGAGCAACGCCGCGGGAGUGAAGAAGGUUUUCGGAUCGUAAAACUCUGUUGGUAGAGAAGAACGUUGGUGAGAGUGGAAAGCUCAUCAAGUGACGGUAACUACCCAGAAAGGGACGGCUAACUACGUG